GAUGAACGCUGGCGGCGUGCCUAAUACAUGCAAGUCGAGCGAACAGACGAGGAGCUUGCUCCUCUGACGUUAGCGGCGGACGGGUGAGUAACACGUGGAUAACCUACCUAUAAGACUGGGAUAACUUCGGGAAACCGGAGCUAAUACCGGAUAAUAUAUUGAACCGCAUGGUUCAAUAGUGAAGGACGGUUUUGCUGUCACUUAUAGAUGGAUCCGCGCCGCAUUAGCUAGUUGGUAAGGUAACGGCUUACCAAGGCAACGAUGCGUAGCCGACCUGAGAGGGUGAUCGGCCACACUGGAACUGAGACACGGUCCAGACUCCUACGGGAGGCAGCAGUAGGGAAUCUUCCGCAAUGGGCGAAAGCUUGACGGAGCAACGCCGCGUGAGUGAUGAAGGUCUUCGGAUCGUAAAACUCUGUUAUUAGGGAAGAACAAAUGUGUAAGUAACUAUACACGUCUUGACGGUACCUAAUCAGAAAGCCACGGCUAACUACGUG
rnacentral:rRNA from 1 species